AAGUCGUAACAAGGUUUCCGUAGGUGAACCUGCGGAAGGAUCAUUAUCGAGUUUUGAAGUGGGCCUCUCGAGCUGGCAUUGCAGGUGCUCAGAGGCUCCCCACUCCCAUCCUCUCAAUCCCUGUGCACUUCUGAGCGCAAGUGAGUGGUCAGUCUUCUCCCCUCUUAUGAAAGGAGGGGGACCAGUCUUUCAAGCUGGUGUUGGCUUGAUGCUUACUUCGUUUGUUAUUAACUCUUAUAAUGUCUUGUAGAAUGCAUUGCCUCUUUGCAGGCGAAAUGUAAUACAACUUUCAACAACGGAUCUCUUGGCUCUC
rnacentral:misc_RNA from 1 species